UCCAUGGCUGAAGAAUCGUCACUAGUCGAAGUUUGCAAAUGGAGUGGUAUUUUAUAUGCUACUCAAUAUCUUUAUUUAAAAAUUAAACUUUGGGUAGAAAGUCUCCCACCUGUUCAUAUGCGGAAAACGUAAUGAGAUUUAAAAAUUUUAAAUUCUUUAAAUCAACUCAUUAAAAGUGAUAGAUGAGGAAAGGUCACCUUUUCUUAUUUAUUCAUUUUUUUGGACUAUUGAUUUGUAACAAAUCAAUAGUUUUUUCGGUACUGAAAUUGGUUUUUCAAUUUCAAACGAUAGUUAUGACGAUUGCCUUGUUAAUGGGAUUUAUUUCAUUACAUGGUAACCCAAUGGAGCUUACUUUCUUAGCUCAUGG
rnacentral:RNase_MRP_RNA from 2 species